GAAUAAAUCAUUUUUCCCGGAAUUCAUAAGAGCUAUUAAUUUGUUUAUUUUAUUGUGAAAUAAAUAUUUUAUAACAAAAUUGAUUGAAAUGAAAUGUUAGUCGUUUUUGAAUAUAUCUGGUUUUUUAAGAAAUAAAUUUAAUUUAUGUUAAUUAUUAAUAAUUAUUUUUUUAUAUAAAAUUAUUAGAUUAAAUUAAUAAUUAAGGGGAUGAGCUUUUAAUUAAAUUUUUAUAAUUUUUAUAUUUUUAAUAAGUUUGUAGGAUUAAUAGUUUCUUUCAAUAAGGGGUGUUUUAACUGAUUUGUUUUACUUUUAUAUUUAUAUAAAAUUUUAAAUUUUUAUUAAAAUGUUAAUUUUAAUUUUUUUAAUUAAGUAAAAAUGAUGAAAUUAGUAUAUUUAUAUAUAUAUAUAAUUUUGAUUAUUAAGUUUAAUUAAAGGAAUUCGGCAAAAUAUUUUCUACCUGUUUAUUAAAAACAUGUCCUUUGGAUUAUUAUUUAAGGUCUAACCUGCCCACUGAUAAAAUUGAAUGGCCGCGGUAUUUU
rnacentral:rRNA from 1 species